UACGUAGGGCGCAAGCGUUGUCCGGAAUCAUUGGGCGUAAAGCGCGCGUAGGUGGUCCCGUAAGUCCGCUGUGAAAGUCAAAGGCUCAACCUUUGAAAGCCGGUGGAUACUGUGGGACUAGAGUACGGAAGAGGCGAGUGGAAUUCCUGGUGUAGCGGUGGAAUGCGCAGAUAUCAGGAGGAACACCAAUAGCGAAGGCAGCUCGCUGGGACGUUACUGACACUGAGGCGCGAAAGCGUGGGGAGCAAACAGG
rnacentral:rRNA from 1 species